AAAAGCCGAAGGCUUACCGCCUUUUAAGGGUGAGAGAUUUGAAGAAACAAAAGUUCCGACAGCGCUCCAAAUAGUCUUAACUGUGAGAGGUCCCUGGGGAAUUGGGGCGAUUCGUGAUUGGUCGAAGGGGUUUUCGGGACUGUGACGCGUUCGUGCUGCUCUGAUCGCGACGCGACUAAUCUUAUUCGAUGUAGAAUGACUUUUUACAUAGACGACGAUAACUUUUAUCGGUGUGGCGUGUGGGUACUGGCUACUGGGGCGACUGGGUAUUCAUUGGAAUUCAUCGAUCUAAUGAUUCUAAUAAGAAAAAAAAACCAUGCCUCCAGUGUCACAACUGAUUAUUCCUUUACCCAUCAAAUGCCAGAUUGGCACAUAGUUCAAAUGUGGGUGCUGAAUGAACUGAUUACAUUUAUCAUCAGACAUCUCUCCCUUUCCUAUGUCUUGAAGAUGACGACAAGUUGCCAGUUGAUUUACAUGUCACCUUUACUGAUAUCCUAGCACACCAUACUUUAUUUGGCAUAAAAAAAAGGUUUCCCUUCUGGGUUUCCCUCAUUUAAAAGGCCUUGAUGAUGUAAUGGUGCUAUGCCAAAAUUUUAUCAACGUAGAGAAAUUAAAGCUGCAGCUGUGGGAAAUGGAAUUGACAAUUACAUUCAUCACAGACACAUUUCAGUUUCAGAAAGUGGAGUUUUGUCUUGAAGAUGACAAAAGUUGCCCUUUGAUUUACAUGUCACCUUAAGUGAUGUCAUAGCAGCUACUUGUCAUUUAAAUAGUUUGUUACCAUACUUUAUUUGACAUGAUUGUUUUAUAGAGUUAUUUCAUUUUGGUUUUUUUUUCA